UACAGAGGUCUCAAGCGUUUGUUCGGAUUCAUUGGGCGUAAAGGGUGCGUAGGUGGCGGGGCAAGUUUGGUGUGAAAUCCCGGGGCUCAACCUCGGAACUGCACUGAAUACUGCCUUGCUAGAGCACUGGAGAGGGAACUGGAAUUUACGGUGUAGCAGUGAAAUGCGUAGAUAUCGUAAGGAAGACCAGUGGCGAAGGCGAGUUCCUGGACAGUUGCUGACCACUGGAG
rnacentral:rRNA from 1 species